GGGUUGUGAGGUUAAGCGACUAAGCGUACACGGUGGAUGCCCUGGCAGUCAGAGGCGAUGAAGGACGUGCUAAUCUGCGAAAAGCGUCGGUAAGGUGAUAUGAACCGUUAUAGCCGGCGAUGUCCGAAUGGGGAAACCCAGUGCAAUUCGUUGCACUAUCGUUAACUGAAUACAUAGGUUAACGAGGCGAACCGGGGGAACUGAAACAUCUAAGUACCCCGAGGAAAAGAAAUCAACCGAGAUUCCCCCAGUAGCGGCGAGCGAACGGGGAGCAGCCCAGAGUCUGAAUCAGCUUGUGUGUUAGUGGAACGGUCUGGAAAGUCCGACGGUACAGGGUGAUAGUCCCGUACACCAAAAUGCACAGGCUGUGAACUCGAAGAGUAGGGCGGGACACGUGGUAUCCUGUCUGAAUAUGGGGGGACCAUCCUCCAAGGCUAAAUACUCCUGACUGACCGAUAGUGAACCAGUACCGUGAGGGAAAGGCGAAAAGAACCCCGGCGAGGGGAGUGAAAAAGAACCUGAAACCGUGUACGUACAAGCAGUGGGAGCACCUUCGGGUGUGACUGCGUACCUUUUGUAUAAUGGGUCAGCGACUUAUAUUCUGUAGCAAGGUUAACCGUAUAGGGGAGCCGCAGGGAAACCGAGUCUUAACUGGGCGUUAAGUUGCAGGGUAUAGACCCGAAACCCGGUGAUCUAGCCAUGGGCAGGUUGAAGGUUGGGUAACACUAACUGGAGGACCGAACCGACUAAUGUUGAAAAAUUAGCGGAUGACUUGUGGCUGGGGGUGAAAGGCCAAUCAAACCGGGAGAUAGCUGGUUCUCCCCGAAAGCUAUUUAGGUAGCGCCUCGUGAAUUCAUCUUCGGGGGUAGAGCACUGUUUCGGCUAGGGGGUCAUCCCGACUUACCAACCCGAUGCAAACUACGAAUACCGAAGAAUGUUAUCACGGGAGACACACGGCGGGUGCUAACGUCCGUCGUGAAGAGGGAAACAACCCAGACCGCCAGCUAAGGUCCCAAAGUCAUGGUUAAGUGGGAAACGAUGUGGGAAGGCACAGACAGCCAGGAUGUUGGCUUAGAAGCAGCCAUCAUUUAAAGAAAGCGUAAUAGCUCACUGGUCGAGUCGGCCUGCGCGGAAGAUGUAACGGGGCUAAACCAUGCACCGAAGCUGCGGCAGCGACACUAUGUGUUGUUGGGUAGGGGAGCGUUCUGUAAGCCUGCGAAGGUGACCUGUGAGGGUUGCUGGAGGUAUCAGAAGUGCGAAUGCUGACAUAAGUAACGAUAAAGCGGGUGAAAAGCCCGCUCGCCGGAAGACCAAGGGUUCCUGUCCAACGUUAAUCGGGGCAGGGUGAGUCGACCCCUAAGGCGAGGCCGAAAGGCGUAGUCGAUGGGAAACAGGUUAAUAUUCCUGUACUUGGUGUUACUGCGAAGGGGGGACGGAGAAGGCUAUGUUAGCCGGGCGACGGUUGUCCCGGUUUAAGCAUGUAGGCUGGUUGUCCAGGCAAAUCCGGAUAAUCAAGGCUGAGGUGUGAUGACGAGGCACUACGGUGCUGAAGUAACAAAUGCCCUGCUUCCAGGAAAAGCCUCUAAGCAUCAGGUAACAUCAAAUCGUACCCCAAACCGACACAGGUGGUCAGGUAGAGAAUACCAAGGCGCUUGAGAGAACUCGGGUGAAGGAACUAGGCAAAAUGGUGCCGUAACUUCGGGAGAAGGCACGCUGGUGUGUAGGUGAAGUCCCUGCGGAUGGAGCUGAGACCAGUCGAAGAUACCAGCUGGCUGCAACUGUUUAUUAAAAACACAGCACUGUGCAAACACGAAAGUGGACGUAUACGGUGUGACGCCUGCCCGGUGCCGGAAGGUUAAUUGAUGGGGUUAUCCGUAAGGAGAAGCUCUUGAUCGAAGCCCCGGUAAACGGCGGCCGUAACUAUAACGGUCCUAAGGUAGCGAAAUUCCUUGUCGGGUAAGUUCCGACCUGCACGAAUGGCGUAAUGAUGGCCAGGCUGUCUCCACCCGAGACUCAGUGAAAUUGAACUCGCUGUGAAGAUGCAGUGUACCCGCGGCAAGACGGAAAGACCCCGUGAACCUUUACUAUAGCUUGACACUGAACAUUGAGCCUUGAUGUGUAGGAUAGGUGGGAGGCUUUGAAGCGUGGACGCCAGUCUGCGUGGAGCCAACCUUGAAAUACCACCCUUUAAUGUUUGAUGUUCUAACGUUGGCCCCUUAUCGGGGUUGCGGACAGUGUCUGGUGGGUAGUUUGACUGGGGCGGUCUCCUCCCAAAGCGUAACGGAGGAGCACGAAGGUUAGCUAAUCCUGGUCGGACAUCAGGAGGUUAGUGCAAUGGCAUAAGCUAGCUUGACUGCGAGCGUGACGGCGCGAGCAGGUGCGAAAGCAGGUCAUAGUGAUCCGGUGGUUCUGAAUGGAAGGGCCAUCGCUCAACGGAUAAAAGGUACUCCGGGGAUAACAGGCUGAUACCGCCCAAGAGUUCAUAUCGACGGCGGUGUUUGGCACCUCGAUGUCGGCUCAUCACAUCCUGGGGCUGAAGUAGGUCCCAAGGGUAUGGCUGUUCGCCAUUUAAAGUGGUACGCGAGCUGGGUUUAGAACGUCGUGAGACAGUUCGGUCCCUAUCUGCCGUGGGCGCUGGAGAAUUGAGGGGGGCUGCUCCUAGUACGAGAGGACCGGAGUGGACGCAUCACUGGUGUUCGGGUUGUCAUGCCAAUGGCACUGCCCGGUAGCUAAAUGCGGAAGAGAUAAGUGCUGAAAGCAUCUAAGCACGAAACUUGCCCCGAGAUGAGUUCUCCCUGAGACUUUAAGUCUCCUGAAGGAACGUUGAAGACGACGACGUUGAUAGGCCGGGUGUGUAAGCGCAGCGAUGCGUUGAGCUAACCGGUACUAAUGAACCGUGAGGCUUAACCUUACAACGCCGAAG
rnacentral:rRNA from 1 species